CCUGGCUCAGGAUGAACGCUAGCGACAGGCUUAACACAUGCAAGUCGAGGGGCAGCACAGGUAGCAAUACCGGGUGGCGACCGGCGCACGGGUGAGUAACGCGUAUGCAACUUGCCUAUCAGAGGGGGAUAACCCGGCGAAAGUCGGACUAAUACCGCAUGAAGCAGGGAUCCCGCAUGGGAAUAUUUGCUAAAGAUUCAUCGCUGAUAGAUAGGCAUGCGUUCCAUUAGGCAGUUGGCGGGGUAACGGCCCACCAAACCGACGAUGGAUAGGGGUUCUGAGAGGAAGGUCCCCCACAUUGGUACUGAGACACGGACCAAACUCCUACGGGAGGCAGCAGUGAGGAAUAUUGGUCAAUGGCCGAGAGGCUGAACCAGCCAAGUCGCGUGAGGGAUGAAGGUUCUAUGGAUCGUAAACCUCUUUUAUAAGGGAAUAAAGUGCGGGACGUGUCCCGUUUUGUAUGUACCUUAUGAAUAAGGAUCGGCUAACUCCGUGCCAGCAGCCGCGGUAAUACGGAGGAUCCGAGCGUUAUCCGGAUUUAUUGGGUUUAAAGGGUGCGUAGGCGGCCUUUUAAGUCAGCGGUGAAAGUCUGUGGCUCAACCAUAGAAUUGCCGUUGAAACUGGGGGGCUUGAGUAUGUUUGAGGCAGGCGGAAUGCGUGGUGUAGCGGUGAAAUGCAUAGAUAUCACGCAGAACCCCGAUUGCGAAGGCAGCCUGCCAAGCCAUUACUGACGCUGAUGCACGAAAGCGUGGGGAUCAAACAGGAUUAGAUACCCUGGUAGUCCACGCAGUAAACGAUGAUCACUAGCUGUUUGCGAUACACUGUAAGCGGCACAGCGAAAGCGUUAAGUGAUCCACCUGGGGAGUACGCCGGCAACGGUGAAACUCAAAGGAAUUGACGGGGGCCCGCACAAGCGGAGGAACAUGUGGUUUAAUUCGAUGAUACGCGAGGAACCUUACCCGGGUUUGAACGCAUUCGGAUCGAGGUGGAAACACCUUUUCUAGCAAUAGCCGUUUGCGAGGUGCUGCAUGGUUGUCGUCAGCUCGUGCCGUGAGGUGUCGGCUUAAGUGCCAUAACGAGCGCAACCCUUGCCACUAGUUACUAACAGGUAAAGCUGAGGACUCUGGUGGGACUGCCAGCGUAAGCUGCGAGGAAGGCGGGGAUGACGUCAAAUCAGCACGGCCCUUACAUCCGGGGCGACACACGUGUUACAAUGGCGUGGACAAAGGGAGGCCACCUGGCGACAGGGAGCGAAUCCCCAAACCACGUCUCAGUUCGGAUCGGAGUCUGCAACCCGACUCCGUGAAGCUGGAUUCGCUAGUAAUCGCGCAUCAGCCAUGGCGCGGUGAAUACGUUCCCGGGCCUUGUACACAC
rnacentral:rRNA from 1 species